GACGAACGCUGGCGGCGUGCUUAACACAUGCAAGUCGAGCGGUAAGGCCCUUUCGGGGGUACACGAGCGGCGAACGGGUGAGUAACACGUGGGUGACCUGCCCUCAGCUCUGGGAUAAGCCUGGGAAACCGGGUCUAAUACUGGAUAUGACUCCAUGACGCAUGUUGUGGGGUGAAAGCCUUGUGCGGCUGAGGAUGGGCCCGCGGCCUAUCAGCUUGUUGGUGGGGUGANGGCCUACCAAGGCGACGACGGGUAGCCGGCCUGAGAGGGCGACCGGCCACACUGGGACUGAGACACGGCCCAGACUCCUACGGGAGGCAGCAGUGGGGAAUCUUGCGCAAUGGGCGAAAGCCUGACGCAGCGACGCCGCGUGAGGGAUGACGGCCUGGUGUAACGU
rnacentral:rRNA from 1 species